GGGUUUAGUUACUCUUUAAACAUCACCUCCAUUCAAAAUGUUUAACCAACACACUUCUUGUUCGGGCUUCAGUUUGCAAAUGCAGGGAAUAUUCUCCAUAACAAAGCGAAUUGCAUCCCGCAUCUCCAUAUCCGCGGUCGUUUUCGAUUUCCCGAACCUAAAAUACAAUCUUAAACUCGGUGCUUAGCGUCUACGUCACGGCUCUCAGCUGUCGGAAAACUGAGAGAUAGGGCGCUGUCUCAGACCGAGUACAGAUGCGAACUGAAAUUGAGCGGGAGUGCGAAGUCUGAUGUAGUCGGACCGUGUGAACAAAAAACAGGACCAAUGCCUUAAAGGGGUCAUCGGAUGCAGAAUUCACUUUUAUAUGGCAGCAGUUUACCUGUCUUGUGUCCACACGCCCCAUGGAAGAGAGGAGUUUGGUGAGCAGUUGCUCAUUAUCAUUUAAAGAGACAUGCACCGAAAACGGGUCACUACCAACAGAGCUCAAUAAACUAUUCAAUAUUAGCCCUCUGGGCUACUUCGUAAAUGGGUUACACUUAGCU